UUUCAUACAACACCAGAGUACAACUUCUAAAUAGGUUUGAGACCUCCUUAUCCCAACAUGGCCUGGACUCCAAAACGUAAAAAUAGGAUCACAAAGUAACUGGAUCAUUCUACAGAAGAAUGGUACAGUGAAAUAAGUUGGACUCUGCAACGAAAGUGCAGCCCAGCUGAAGAAGCCUUUGCACCGCAGCAUCCCAGGAGAUUGGGGGUGUAUAAUAACAGCAGUAUUUUCCUAUACCUGCUGUAAUUUUAUCCUCUCCUGAGCAUCUGCUUCAGCUCUGGUCAGAGGCUGGCUGAGGUGACUCUUACUUAUGCUACUAAAUGUUUAAAGCAGAGGACAUAGUGGCAGCAUGUGCCAGCACGGACAUAUCAUCCAGAGCGAUGAGGAAGCACCAGGCUGGCUCUGUGUGCUUCACAUGCUUUUGGGCCCCCCCUCCCUGCACAGGGCUGGGAAAUCCACCGGGAGAUUCAGGUUGCGCUGUUUCUCACACACACAGCAGCUUACAAACCAAUGAGAGGGAAGAGAGGGCAAAGGCAGAAAGUCCUUCUGUUUCUUCUAGCACUGAUGUACUGCUGCCACCUCUCACUGACCAAUGCAGGGUACACCCCCACCCCCACUGGGAGCCUGCAGGCACCAUCAUGGGGCACUGAACGCGGCACCGUGGGACAUCACCCAUGGAGGCCAUCUUCCCUGAAAGGCAGCUGCACCUCGCUGCACCACUGAGCAUUCCCACAGCCCGCUAAGGGAAAGCAUUCAGUGCAUGGUAUUUGCAGCUGCAGAACUGGUGCUUGUUUAAUCCUGUUUAGCCUCAGCUGCCUGCUUUUAAACAGUUCCCAUCUCUGCCGGCAAUGAUGCUGACAACCCCUUGGCCCAGCACUGUAUCUGACCUCAGUGAACCCACACGAGGCUUGGGAAGGACAGGCAAGUGCAGGAAGGAGCUGCAGUCAGGUUCACUGAGGUUCACAGGUGUGUAGGAGCGCACUGAAGAGACUCCAUAGAAGAUCUGGGACACACCAACACGUGCUGCUACCGAGGCUGUGCAAUGCCAGUGCUGGAAGGAAGGUGGAAUCAGUGGCUGAGGCUGGUGGGGGCCUCUGUGUCCCUCUAGCCCAACCCCUGCCCAAGCAGGGACACCCAGAACAGGGUGCCCUGUCCAGGCAGCUUCUGAAGAUCUCCCCACAGAAGACCCCACAGCAUCUGGGCAGCCUGUGCCAGGAUUCAGUCACCCACACAGCAUAGAAGAGCUGCCUGAUGUUCAGGGGGAGCUUCCUGUGUUCCAGUUUGUGCCCUUCCCCUCUUGUCCUGGCACUGGGUACCACUGAACAAAGCCUGGCUCCAACCUCUCUGCACCCUCCCCUCAGGCAUUUACGGACAUUGAUAAGGUUCCCCAGAGCCUAAUUUUCUUUAAGUUAAGCAGUCCCAGCUCUUUUAGCCCCUCCUCACAGAAGAGAUGCUCCAGUCCCUUCAUCAUCUCGCUGCCUCUCCACUGGACUCUCUCCAGAGUGUCCAACUGUCUCUUGUACUGGGAGCCCAAAACUGGACACAGCACUCCAGGUUUGACCUCACCCACGCUGCUCAGAGUGGAAGGAGCAUCUCCCUCAACUCACUGCCAAUUCUUUGCCAAAUGCAGCCCAAUAAACCAUUAUGCUCCUUAGCAGCAAGAACAUACUUUAACUCAAACUUGGUGUCCACUAGGACCCUUGGCCCUGUUCUUGAGCUGGAUUCCCCUAGCAUAUCCCGGUGCCAGGUGCAGGACUCCACACUUCUCCUGGAUGAACUUCUCAAGGUUCCUGUCAGCCCACUUCUGCAGACAGCUGAGGACCCUCGGGAUAGCUGCACGGCCUUUGGCCUAUCAGCUGUUCGUCCCAGUUUUGUGUCAUCUGUAAACAGGCCAAGGGUAUCUUCUGCCAUAUCACCCUGAUCAUUAACUACUAUGUUAAAUAGGACUGGAAAAUGGCCCUCACUUCAGCAGCGAACCAGAAGUACCACAGCACUGUCUGCACAGAAAGCAACACAUCUAGAAAUGCUCUGAGGACUAACUGAUUUUUGAAUCCUCUGCAGGGCUCUGUAUGCAUAGAACACUUCUAAUUGAGCUGCCAUUGGCAUGGAUAGAAACACCAAAGUGCAUUCAGAGAUGGAACCAGAAGCAUGCCAUGUGUUGAAAACAGGGACUCCUUGUCUGUUUAAGGAUGGCCUGACACAGCAAGAGGGUGUCUGUUUCCAUACAAUAACAGCUGCAUCCCAAAUGAGGCCCCUGGCUGUCAAAAAUGAAGCAAUAGGUCACUUUAGUUUACAGAGGAAUGUGUACUCACUGCCUGCACCAGGUUUUGUUGCCAGGAGGUGCUUCCACUUAUAGUCAGGAGUUUUUCAGAACAUAAAUAUAGCUCUAUUAGACUUGGCAUGCGGUUCAGCUCAUCCUGUUUCCUCCCUGUGCGGUGGUCAGUAUCAGAUUCUUCAGGACCAAGAACCUCUGUGAGUUAUCAGGGAGAUCCCACACCCAACUCUGGUGCUAUAAAUCACAGGUUGAUCUUCGAGGCAUCUGUUCCAAGGGCAGCAGAUGCAAAAUGGGAAGGAAGAACCCGCUCCCUUCUCCAACUAGAUUAUCUGUCAAGGUGAGACCUUGAGAGGCAAUCACUUAAUAACCACCAGAUGGGCCCACGUUUGUUAAAUCAGUCAGCAGAUGAGAAAAAUAGGGACGAGAUCACCUGACCGCCCUUCUCAUCACCAUGCCAACCGAGUACUCCAAGUUUUCUUCCCUUGAACUUUUGCAGCCAAGGCCUUCCAUAUCCUAAUCGCACUUCUGGUUUGUUUCCUUAAAGAAAAAAAAAAAGAAAAUAGGCAAAAAGCCCCAUGAAGUACAGUUGAAGCACAAUUCUGCCAAGUUAAAACCUAAUGAACUUAAAUGAAGUCUAUCACUGAAAAGUGAAGCGCACGUGAAGUCCGUGACUAAGAGCAGUCCAUACUAGCCUGAAGCUGCCAACGAGCACAUUUUGAGAGUUUGCAGUGAGCAAAGAUAUCAAGGAAAUUGCAUGUGUCUCGCAUGUGAAAUGUGGGGAUCCUCCAGAGCGUCCCUCAGGCCCUAUCUGUGCUGCGAGCCAAACCCAGAUGAGUAUCUGCCUUCCCUCCAAGAGGGGAGGAACUCCUCCAUUCGGUAAAAGAAUGCUUGGAUCAUUAGUUUCCUGACCCCACCAAUCCCUGGGGGGUACAUGCACGAAUUUGGGAUUGCUCUAGCUGAGUAUAACUUUGGGAGUUCAUUCAACAAACUCUUGGCUCUGGAAGGAAUUGCUGACAUUUCUUUCUCUCCUCCUUUCCUCUCACAGCACAAUACAGCUCUUGCUUUUCUCUUUCACUGUGGUUCUCAAGUUCUCUGCUGGGGGCUGUGAAAUGCCUUCUGCUGGUACCCUGUGAACUUACCCAACCCAAUCCUCCUGCUCACCGACCCACUCAUCUGCUCCAGCACAGCCGUCCUGGCAGACCUUUGGUGACUUUCAUUCUGUAGCAUGUUUCCUCUGUGUAGUCUGAGAGCCCAGCUGCUCUAUGCGUGUACCUGUUGCAGAAAUCAGCGUGUGCCUGCUUGAGGUGCCAGGCAGCUCGUGACAGAUGUCAAGUCCAAGUAAAGCUCUUGGUGGGGACCAAGUGUGGUAAUAAAGCUGCACAACGCUAUUGAUUCAGCUGAAACUGCAAUAGCCUUUUCACCCAGCUUAGAAGUAAAACAAAGAUCUGGCAGCUCUGGAGAAGCAAUCAUCCUUUGAAACAGUCCAGGGAUAAAAGGUAGAUUAAAUCUAGUAGGCAAAACGAUGGCAAUUUUUCCUCUACCUUAUUAGCCCUGGUCAAACCCCAGAGAGCAGUGUAUUUAGAGAGUGCUCCUUUAAAGACAGGGGGAAAAGGCAAGUGCUACAUUUCAUCUGGUAAAUGAUUUCUGGAGUUGCAUUCCUGUGCAUUCAUGCACAAAUUGAGAGCGCUGCUGAGCCUCAAAUAUCCGCAGGCCUAACGGUGAGAUCCAAGACAACGUGUGACAAAUGGCAACGCGUACCCUCCAGCACCGGGAACGCCAGUGAUGGAAACGCAGCCACAUGCUGCAGUGUUUCAUCUCACUUUGGGCUGACAGGCGAGCGAUGUGAGCAAUGCAAGUCCCGAGUGUUUGUGUGCUGCCGGCUGCUGCACAGCCUUGGGGUGUGGAAUGUUCCCGUCAGCCUUUCCCAUCGCUGUCCUGCUGAGCGACUGCUGCUGUGGAGCCAUGGAUGCCCACUGCAGGCAGAGGUGACUCACCUGGGGGAUGUGAGGCAUCUUGUGCUGCCGUGUGGCAGCCGCUGAGCAGAAGUGCUGCAGCAUACAGCAGCAGACAGGAACUCUAAUCCCAGUGCUCUGCACACUUUGAUGCAGGGCCACAGCCCCUGCUCAGUGCACUGGAAAUUACCUCGGACAAAGUGAUUCCUCUCCAGCCUUUCCUGCAUGCAUGCGUGUCAACUUUACCUGCACCGUGCACAACCCAAUAGCUCACAGAGGUCUGUGAAAGCACAUGCAGCGUUUCACAGAAUCAUAGGAUUGUUUGAGUGGGAAGAGACUCUUAAAGGACACCUAGCCCAACACCCCUGCAACGAGCAGGGACACCUGAAGCUCAGUCAGGUGCUCAGCAUCCUGUCCAGCCUGACCUUCAGUGUCUCCAGGGGCGAGCUUCCACCACCUCUCUGGGCACCCUCCUCCAAUGUCCCUUAAUGUAAAAAAAUGCCUUCUUUCCUAAUAUCCAAUCUGAAACUCUUUUAGUUUGAAACCACUUCCCCUUGUCCUUUUACAGCAGUCCCUGCUAAAAAGUCUGUCCCUUUCCUUCCUAUAGCCUCCCUCUAUAUACUGAAAGGCUGCUACCAGGUCUUCCCAGAGCUUUCUCUUCUCCAGGCUGAACAGCCCCAGACAGCCCCCAGGUGCUGAUGGGUGAACUAAGGCCUGGUGGGUUUAACUGCACUGGGAGAGGAAAAAGCACCACCUACUGCGCAACUGCACUGAAGGCUCUGCUGUCACUCUUACGCAGGUAACCAACAAUUGACUUCUCUAUUUAAUUUCACUUGUUUAAACUGGCAACCCUUGAAAGAAAGGAUUAAGUGGGAGAAGUAGAAAGGGCCCUAUCUGCUUGCUCUGUUCAUUGCCGUGCUCUGAGUGCUUUCAUUCCGUGUUUGUACAGUUUCUGGUACAACACAGUCCUGACCCAACUAUCCGGAUGAAUGAGCCGAUGCUAAGGAGCUGCUUGCUGGCCCGAGUGCACUUUCUUUUUGGCCAGCACUGCCUGUAACGAAGAAAUACUGGAAAUGAUGUGGAUGGGGAUAUCACCGAGUCAGCUUUUCACAGAACAAGGAAAAAAUGUAACUGGUUGCCUGCCCCUACCUGAGUGCGCUCCACUGGGAGAAACAGACAUUUCAGAACUCCCCGCAUGUCCUCCUUGCUGUAUUUUGGGAUCAGUGUUCAUGGAAAAAAAAAAAAAAAAAAAAUCCUUGCUGUUCUCCACUCAUGAGCUUCGGGCAUCGUGUCUGCAAAAACAAAACCAUCUGGAAGUAGGCAGGUUUUAAGGAGAAUUACCCGGAGAAGCGCAGAAGGAAAGCAGAGGGAUAAUGGAGGGAAAUGGGAAGGGAGGACUGGGAGGCGACAGCACAGCACAGCACAGGCUGCAAGGAGCACGGACAGAGCCACGGCGUGUGGCACAACCACAAAGCACAGAGAGUAGGAAUCCUCUGCGCACCAAUCCUCACUGAGCACCCAAGCAGUUAAGCCAAAAACCAGAGCCUUGCAGAACUGGGACUGUACCCUUUCAUAGCUGAAAAGGCCGUAGGGACAGCCUGUCCUGGCCAGCACAGAUCAAGGCAACAGCUUAAAAACACUGCUCUGAGCUGCUGAGCAGGUUUUCAUAGAAUCACAGGAUGGUUUGGGCUGGAGGGGACGUUAAGGAUCUCGCAGUUCCAACCCCCUGCCACGGGCAGGGCUGCCCCCCACCAGCCCAGGCUGCCCAGGGCCCAUCCAACCCGGCCUCGAGUGCCUCCAGGGAUGGGGCACCGCAGCUUCCCACUGGGGCAGCAGUGCCAGUGCCUCACCGCCCUGUGAGUAAAGACUUUCCCUCUAACAUCUAAUCUAAACCUCCUCUCUUUUAGUUUAAAGCCACCUCCUCCUUGCCCUAUCGCUGACUACCACAGUCAUUUUCCUAAUACGCUGCACUUUCCUCGCAGCCCCGACGACGAUCCCGCUUUCCACAGCUCAGUGCCGGGUGACCGCGGCUGCAGGACGGAAGCAGGAGCCCCCUUUCCGCGGCCUGACCCCGGCCCAGCAGCGCACUCCCAGACCCGCUCCGACGCGGAGAUCCCGGGGGGCGCGGGGGGCCGGG
ensembl:lncRNA